UCGUUUCUAGAAAGAGAAAGCUCAAUAAACCUAAACCACUCAAACCACCUCCAAAUUCAAAGUUUUGUCUUUUAUCAAAAUAUCUUCCUCACUCCAUUGUUUGAUCAUGCACGAACGUUUUCAAGUGUUCAAAGAGGAUUAUAGAGUCCAAAAUUUAUGCUAAAGUGGCUGCCAUUUUAAAAUCCGAGAGUUGUUACAUACUGUUGCAAGUUGUGGUUGUGUUUUGAAUCUUAUUUUAAUCAAAUCCUUCAAGCUAAGAACGAGUUUUCAUCAUCAAUGGAGCCUAAAACAGCUUUUUCUUUAAGGACUUUUUUCUUCAAGAGAUUGAUGAUUGUCAUAACUACCCCACAAUUUGGGGGCCCAACAUCCUCGUUAGCCAUACAUUUAACUUGGUGUAGGCUCUGAUACCAUUCUAUAAAUGGCCCACAUCUUCGGAACUACUUCAUGAGCCUUCUUCUAGCACCGCUCCAACCGUUCUUCACACAUUUCCGGUAUAGAUAUGUGUAUACACAUAAUAUAAAGAAUUCUUUUUACUAGCAAAAAAACAGGCUGUAAUUCUUUUGUUUACAAGGCAAAUGAGCCUAGCCAACCAAGUAACAUUUCUAAUCCAGAAUUGUUUUAUUUAGUCAAAUAAUGAAUUGCUCAGAAGAUUCAAACUUUCCACGCCCAACAACAAAAUACGAUAAGCGAGACGAUGAAUUAAUAGAUACAAUUAUUGUGUGUUUG